rnacentral:rRNA from 1 species
GAUGAACGCUGGCGGCGUGCCUAAUACAUGCAAGUCGAGCGAACAGACGAGGAGCUUGCUCCUCUGACGUUAGCGGCGGACGGGUGAGUAACACGUGGAUAACCUACCUAUAAGACUGGGAUAACUUCGGGAAACCGGAGCUAAUACCGGAUAAUAUAUUGAACCGCAUGGUUCAAUAGUGAAAGACGGUUUUGCUUUCACUUAUAGAUGGAUCCGCGCCGCAUUAGCUAGUUGGUAAGGUAACGGCUUACCAAGGCAACGAUGCGUAGCCGACCUGAGAGGGUGAGCGGCCACACUGGAACUGAGACACGGUCCAGACUCCUACGGGAGGCAGCAGUAGGGAAUCUUCCGCAAUGGGCGAGAGCCUGACAGAGCAACGCCGCGUGAGUGAUGAAGGUCUUCGGAUCGUAAAACUCUGUUAUUAGGGAAGAACAAAUGUGUAAGUAACUAUGCACGUCUUGACGGUACCUAAUCAGAAAGCCACGGCUAACUACGUG